rnacentral:rRNA from 1 species
GUGGGGAAUCUUCCGCAAUGGACGAAAGUCUGACGGAGCAACGCCGCGUGAGUGAUGAAGGUCUUCGGAUUGUAAAGCUCUGUUAAUCGGGACGAAAGAGCCUAGUGUGAAUAAUGCUAGGAAGUGACGGUACCGGAAUAGAAAGCCACGGCUAACUACGUGCCAGCAGCCGCGGUAAUACGUAGGUGGCAAGCGUUGUCCGGAAUUAUUGGGCGUAAAGCGCGCGCAGGCGGAUCUGCCAGUCUGUCUUAAAAGUUCGGGGCUUAACACCGUGAUGGGAUGGAAACUACAGAUCUAGAGUAUCGGAGAGGAAAGUGGAAUUCCUAGUGUAGCGGUGAAAUGCGUAGAUAUUAGGAAGAACACCAGUGGCGAAGGCGACUUUCUGGACGAAAACUGACGCUGAGGCGCGAAAGCCAGGGGAGCGAACGGGAUUAGAAACCCCAGUAGUCC